CAGUCGCCACGGGAAUACGAAGGGUGCAAGCGUUAAUCGGAAUUACUGGGCGUAAAGCGUGCGCAGGCGGUUAUAUAAGACAGAUGUGAAAUCCCCGGGCUCAACCUGGGACCUGCAUUUGUGACUGUAUAGCUAGAGUACGGUAGAGGGGGAUGGAAUUCCGCGUGUAGCAGUGAAAUGCGUAGAUAUGCGGAGGAACACCGAUGGCGAAGGCAGCCCCCUGGGCCAAUACUGACGCUCAUGCACGAAAGCGUGGGGAGCAAACAGGAUUAGAUACCCGAGUAGUCCCUGUCUCUUAUAA
rnacentral:rRNA from 1 species